rnacentral:rRNA from 1 species
GAUGAACGCUGACAGAAUGCUUAACACAUGCAAGUCAACUUGAAUUUGGGUUUUUACCUUAGGUUUGGGUGGCGGACGGGUGAGUAACGCGUAAAGAACUUGCCUCACAGCUAGGGACAACAUUUGGAAACGAAUGCUAAUACCUAAUAUUAUGAUAAUAGGGCAUCCUAUAAUUAUGAAAGCUAUAAGCGCUGUGAGAGAGCUUUGCGUCCCAUUAGCUAGUUGGAGAGGUAACGGCUCACCAAGGCGAUGAUGGGUAGCCGGCCUGAGAGGGUGAUCGGCCACAAGGGGACUGAGACACGGCCCUUACUCCUACGGGAGGCAGCAGUGGGGAAUAUUGGACAAUGGACCGAGAGUCUGAUCCAGAAAUUCUGUGUGCACGAUGAAGUUUUUCGGAAUGUAAAGUGCUUUCAGUUGGGAAGAAACAAAUGACGGUACCAACAGAAGAAGUGACGGCUAAAUACGUG